GGCGACGAUCCCUAGCUGGUCUGAGAGGAUGACCAGCCACACUGGAACUGAGACACGGUCCAGACUCCUACGGGAGGCAGCAGUGGGGAAUAUUGCACAAUGGGCGCAAGCCUGAUGCAGCCAUGCCGCGUGUAUGAAGAAGGCCUUCGGGUUGUAAAGUACUUUCAGCGGGGAGGAAGGCGAUGCGGUUAAUAACCGCGUCGAUUGACGUUACCCGCAGAAGAAGCACCGGCUAACUCCGUGCCAGCAGCCGCGGUAAUACGGAGGGUGCAAGCGUUAAUCGGAAUUACUGGGCGUAAAGCGCACGCAGGCGGUCUGUUAAGUCAGAUGUGAAAUCCCCGGGCUUAACCUGGGAACUGCAUUUGAAACUGGCAGGCUUGAGUCUUGUAGAGGGGGGUAGAAUUCCAGGUGUAGCGGUGA
rnacentral:rRNA from 2 species